GUGUUCACUUUGGCAGCACAUAUACUAAAAUUGGAACCAUACGUGGCCUUGUGCAAGAAUGACACGUACAUUCAUGAAGCAUUCCAUAUAUAU
ensembl:snRNA U6 U6 spliceosomal RNA